GUUCCCUUUCAGACAGCACAUAUACGAAAAUUGAAACGAUGUAUAGAACAUUGGCAUGGUACCUGAGUAAAAAUGACAUGCAAAUCUGUGAAGCGUUCCAAAGAUUU